UACGUAGGGUGCGAGCGUUGUCCGGAAUUAUUGGGCGUAAAGAGCUUGUAGGCGGUCUGUCACGUCUGCUGUGAAAAUCCGGGGCUCAACCCCGGACUUGCAGUGGGUACGGGCAGACUAGAGUGUGGUAGGGGAGACUGGAAUUCCUGGUGUAGCGGUGAAAUGCGCAGAUAUCAGGAGGAACACCGGCGGCGAAGGCGGCACUCUGGGCCGGUACUGACGCUGAGGAGCGAAAGCGUGGGUAGCAAACAGG
rnacentral:rRNA from 1 species